rnacentral:tRNA from 1 species
GGCAGUGGCUCAGUGGCAGAGUGCUUGCCUAGCAUGUGUGAGACACUGGGUUCAAUCCUCAGCACCA